rnacentral:rRNA from 1 species
UACGGAGGAUGCGAGCGUUAUCCGGAUUUAUUGGGUUUAAAGGGUGCGUAGGCGGGCUUUUAAGUCAGCGGUAAAAAUUCGGGGCUCAACCCCGUCCGGCCGUUGAAACGGGGGGCCUUGAGUGGGCGAGAAGAAGGCGGAAUGCGUGGUGUAGCGGUGAAAUGCAUAGAUAUCACGCAGAACCCCGAUUGCGAAGGCAGCCUUCCGGCGCCCUACUGACGCUGAGGCACGAAAGUGCGGGGAUCGAACAGG